rnacentral:lncRNA from 1 species
AUAGCUAUUCCAUAGCUGCACAAACAGAAACACAUUCCACAGUGACCUCUUUUAAGGAGUGGACUAAACUCCUGGCUACCUUACCUUGGAACCUCUGUCUUGUGGGUAAAAGGGGGAUUUUAGCCUUUUAGUGAUUACCAUAUUGAAUAUACAAGUCCAGGAAUCUUAAUUUAUUUUUUAAAUAACAAUAAUGUCUUUAGCAAAGAUGUUGUAGCAGAAAUGGCAUGAAGUGCUCACUGGUUCUAUUUGUUUCUAAGAGGACUCAAAUCCCUAUCCCUAAAGCAUCAGCAAAAACUUGCUGUGGCUUCCUAGGGACAGACAGGGAGGAUGAGAGGAUGAGCUGCUCAUACCUUCAGGAAGGCAACGGGGAAGUUGGACUCUGUCUCUCCUCCUCACCGCCCCCUCCCCCCGCCCCCUGCCGCCUCAUGCAGGCAUACACACACACACACACACACACACACACACACACACACACACACUACCUUUUUUUAAAAAAAAUUUAUUUGAUUUUAAGUUCCAGGAUACAGGUGCAGGACGUACAGGUUUGUUAUGUAGGUAAACGUGUGCCAUGGUGGUUUGUUGCACUUAUCAACCCAUCACCUAGGUAUUAAGCCCCACAUGCAUUAGCUAUUUAAGCUGAUGCUCUCCCUCCCCUCCAAUCCCUUGGACAGGCCCCAGUGUGUGUUGUUCCCCUCCCUGUGUCCAUGUGUUCUCAUUGUUCAGCUCCCACUUACAAGUGAGAACAUGUGCACACCACAUCAUUUCUUGGAAGCAGAGGUAUCAAAGGCAAGAAUUUGGCCACAAAGGUUUGUUCUGCUGGUGAAAGCAGCCUGAAAGGAGACUGGCAACUCAUGCUGCCUGUUAAUGAUGAAAUGUGUCCAUAGCAUUUAUCAAGACCCCAUUGUGCUUUCACACCAGUCUCCCCAAAGUGGUGUAUGACUGUGAUAGAGAACAACAGUUGCCUCUCAAUAACCAUUCUUCCCUUUUUCCUUAGUAACAGAGCUCUUUCAUUUCAGCACAUUGAUGGCCAGAAUAAAGGCUGCUUUCCUAGCCCCUCCCUACAACCCUUGUUCUAGAGUUUGCAUUUGGCUCAAUUCUGGCCAAUGGAUUAUAAGCAGACAUGUUGCUGGGACUUCUGGGAAAUCUAAAAGGGGAUUUAGUAGAUAUUUCCUCUUCCCUUUCUUUCCCUGCUGCCUGGAAUGUAGAUGUGAUAACAAGCGCUCCUGCAGCCACCUUGGACCACAAAAUCAAAGGCCACACCCCAGAACCAAAAGCUGGAAGGAGCUUGGGCUUCUGAUAAUUUUGUAGCACCAAAAUCACAGCACUCAACCUUGGGACUUCUUUUACAUAAGACAGAAACAGACAGAGUCAUCAUGGCAGUGGCCGGGGCCCCGGAUGGCAUGGAGGAACCUGGCAUGGACACAGAGGCCGGGAUGUGUCCUGGAUGUGUUAGAAAAUCCCCAUAGAUGUGUAGAAGAUAAAUAGAAAUUCCAGGACCCUGAAGACUGCACAGGAGGCAAUGACAAAAGGGUGUGGAAGUGAGAAGGCACCAGAAAUAAACUUGGCCAACCUGGCUUUUUGCCAAUGGCUAAUCCUACCUGUGGCCAACAUGGCCAGGAUCAUAUAAGCUCACAUUGCCAGCUUCACAGGCACCUUUUCUGACAUGUACAGAGUAGGCUGCCCCAUUAGGGAGAGACACCAAUAUGUUCCGAGGGUGCGUGCCUCAGCAACCCCAUGCACUGCUACCCACCUCACUAAAAUAGCUGGAAGAAGACUCACCAGCUGCCCAUCAGGAAGGGCAUCUAAGGAUGUCAUUUCCCAUGCCUAAGGUUGCAACAGCUGCUGCAUGAGGUUCAAAGUUCUCAGAGCCUAGAGGCCACUGGGGGAGGUUUCUUCAGUGAAAACCAGUGGCAGAAGCAAUGGGCAUGUCCAAAGUACUGCCAUGCUGUCCUGCAUGUCCAGCAGUUCAGUGUGUGGGCUCUGGACUCAGCUUGAACCUUGAUUCCACUUCUUAUCAGCUGUCAGACGCUGGGGCUAUAACCUAAGUCCUAACUUCCUAGUAUGAGGUAAGAGUGGAGCACACAAUAACCAAAGGAAAUAUAAUACAAGCUACCAAUGCAGCUAAAUUACAGACGUAAUUUUAAAUUUUGUAGUAACCACAUUUACAAAGUAAAACGAGGCCAGUUGCAGGGGCUCAAGCUUGUAAUCCCAUAGCUAUGGGAGGCUGAGGUGAGAGGGGGUGGGGAGGGAGGAUCACUUGAGGCCAGGAGUUCAAAACCAGCCUAAGCAAUAUGGCAAAAGCUUGUCUCUACAAGCCUUAAAAAUUAGCCAGGCAUGGUGGCACACGCCUGUAGUCCCAGCUAUUCAAGAGGCUGAGUGGAAGGAUCACCUGAGCCCAGGAGGUCAAGGCUGCAGUGAGCCAUGAUCGCACCACUGCACUCCAGCCUAGGCAGAAAGUGAGACCCCAUCUCAAAAGAAGAAAUUAUUAUAUAAAAUAAAAAGUAAAAAGAAACAGGUAAAUUUAGCUUAUAUAAUUUUAACACAUUAUAUCUGAAAUAUCACUGCAACCAAUAUUAUCAUUGCAAUCAAUAUUAAAAAUUAUUAGUGAGAUAUUUUACAUUCUUUAUUCUGUCUACUGUCUUCAAAAUUAUUGAUGUAUUUUAUGCUCAUAGCAUAUCUCAGCUCCAACUGGCCAAAUUUCAAGUACUCAGCAACAACAUGCAACUGGUGGCUACCAUACUGGACAAUAGGGGCAGAUGCUGUCAAUUCCCUUUACAUGUACUGGCCACUAGCAGCUUCUUACUGUAAUAACCUUUGACUCUGCCUUGGCACUUCCUCUCAGCUGAACACACAGCAGACCAGAAGUGCUGAGGAAGAAAUGCCCCAAGGAACAGCCCUCAAUCAAUGAAGAUUUGCAGUUGGCAGAUUAACAUCCUACUCCCUGACUCCUUAGAUGGAGCAGGACUUCAAUUAAAUUUUAAUUGAAAUUAAUUUGAUGUGAUUCAACUUGUCUUUUACUUUUUUUUUUUUUUUUUUUUGAGAUGGAGUCUCACUCUGUCACCCAGGCUGGAGUGCAGUGGUGUGAUCUCGGCUCACUGCAACCUCCAACUCCCGGGUUCAAGUGAUCCACCUGCCUCGGCCUCCCAAAGUGCUGG